ensembl:snRNA U6 U6 spliceosomal RNA
GUGUUUGCUCCAGCAGCAUGUAUAUUAAAAUUAGAAUAAUACAGAAAUUAGCAUGCCCCAACAGCACUAGAAUGACACACAAAUUUAUGAUUCUCUUUUUUGGUUU